rnacentral:rRNA from 1 species
GACGAACGCUGGCGGCGUGCUUAACACAUGCAAGUCGAACGGAAAGGCCCUGCUUUUGUGGGGUGCUCGAGUGGCGAACGGGUGAGUAACACGUGAGUAACCUGCCCUUGACUUUGGGAUAACUUCAGGAAACUGGGGCUAAUACCGGAUAGGAGCUCCUGCUGCAUGGUGGGGGUUGGAAAGUUUCGGCGGUUGGGGAUGGACUCGCGGCUUAUCAGCUUGUUGGUGGGGUAGUGGCUUACCAAGGCUUUGACGGGUAGCCGGCCUGAGAGGGUGAACGGCGACAUGGGGCCUGAGAGACGGAGCAGACUCGUAUGGGAGGCAGCGGUGGGGAAUAUGACAGAGUGGGCGGAAGCGUGAUGCAGCGACGCCGGGAGCGGGAUGACGGCCUUCGGGUUGUAAACCGCUUUCGACUGUGACGAAGAGUGAGUGACGGUAAUGGGUAAAGAAGCACCGGCUAACUACGUG